UACAGAGGUCCCAAGCGUUGUUCGGAUUCAUUGGGCGUAAAGGGUGCGUAGGCGGCGCGGUAAGUCGGGUGUGAAAUCUCGGGGCUUAACUCCGAAACUGCAUUCGAUACUGCCGUGCUUGAGGACUGGAGAGGAGACUGGAAUUUACGGCGUAGCGGUGAAAUGCGUAGAUAUCGUAAGGAAGACCAGUGGCGAAGGCGGGUCUCUGGACAGUUCCUGACGCUGAGGCACGAAGGUCAGGGGAGCAAACGGG
rnacentral:rRNA from 1 species